AUAUGCUCUAGUGUUUAUGAUCGCAGGGGUUAGAAAAAUGGUUAAGCAGCCAAUAGCAUUCCACCUCUCUGCGGGGUCUGUGACAGCAAACAGACUGGUGGUGCUCAUAAAGGAGGUCCUUUUAAACUGCUUUGAUGCGGGGCUGAACAUUGCUGCAACAGUUUGUGACAUGGAUGGAGUAAAUAAAAGAGCCUUAGGUAUCUCGGGAGUAAGUGUACAGCAACCUGUCACUAUAGUUGGCAAUCAAGGAGCAGUUACACUUUUCGACACCCCCCAUCUUCUGAAAUGUUUCAGAAACUUGUUUCUAAAGCACAUGAUAUUGAAUGUCAAAGAAAUAUAACAUCGGAUGGCAAAACUGGAAUUGGAAUUGCAAAAUGGGCCCACAUAAAAAACUUUUAUGACUUGGAUAGUACUAAUCCAAACUUUGUCUUUGCACCGUGUCCAAGACAUGAGCAUUUGGACCCUAACUGUAAAGAAAAAUGAAAGUUAAACUCGCAGCACAAGUAUUGAGUCACUCUGUUGCUGCUGGAAUGUGCGCAAAAAUAUCACAAGGAGAACUGCCUGCCGACGCUGCUGUUACAGCCAAUGUAAUAUCCGAUAUGGAUAAACUAUU